rnacentral:rRNA from 1 species
CUGUCGUUAGUUGCCAUCAUUCAGUUGGGCACUCUAACGAGACUGCCGGCGUCAAGCCGGAGGAAGGUGGGGACGACGUCAAGUCCUCAUGGCCUUUAUGACCAGGGCUACACACGUGCUACAAUGGCCGGUACAAAGGGUCGCCAAGUCGCGAGACGGAGCUAAUCCCAAAAAACCGGUCUCAGUUCGGAUUGGAGUCUGCAACUCGACUCCAUGAAGUUGGAAUCGCUAGUAAUCGCAGAUCAGCACGCUGCGGUGAAUACGUUCCCGGGCCUU